ensembl:lncRNA
GCCUGUAAAAAAUAUUGUGGUAGGUGGGUCACGAGGACUGGAGUUGAGAAACACUGUCUUAAUAGGCGUUUAGACCAUAAAUAAUGUUAAGUAUGGAAACAGAAUUGUCCAUCUCUUACAUAGAAAGAAUUGUCCAUCUCUUACAUAGAAAGAAAACAAAAAUGUUCCGGGAGGGGGUCAUGAGGACUGACUGUAUUAAAGGACAUCCUGACUGACUUGUGAAAACUUGACAUUAGAUUCACGCUGAUAUUGCUACAAGAAGUGUUUCUGCAUGAAUAGUAUUUCAAGUUUAGACAAAUGUUUUUUUUAAUCCAGUUUAUGCUUUAAGUUUUGUUACUGUAACAACAAUAUGUUUUUGUUAUAAACAGAUUGCUGAGGAAUUCUUCAGAAUCACGAAUAAAGACCUUCUUGAUGUCUUCAGGGCAGCUAUGGAUAGAUUUACACCUAAGCUCUUGAAAUUAUACAGAGCUAGAAAAGCUGCAUUUGGAGAGGACAUGGAACAGCUCCUAGAAAGACUUGAUGAAAGGGUGACCGAUGUUGUUAAUCACAGAAGGACUACUGCUUUGAAAGGCCUGCCUUUGUUUCUUCGAGAGGACCCAAACAAGCUGUUCAUGACAUGCAAAGUAAGUAGUAAAUACUUCAAAAAGGCUUACAGUUUUUUUAGAUUUUUAUUAAUUUUAGUUCAUUAGGUUUGUUUAAAAAAAGGGAAUAUUUACUUGUUCUAGUCUUAUGUUUGUCAGUCUGCAAGUGUUGACUGUUUAAUGACUAUUGACUUUUACAGUCUAUUAUGGAUAGAAUGCAACUACAAAAUAUCUGUUCUAGUAGAUUAUUGUUUGUGUAACAGGACACCGAAGAUGGGGCAAAAGGAGUGUCUAUUGCCAUUCUGUGUGUUUUGGAAGAUGAAACCCAGGCGACAUCACCCGAGGUUGUGAACAUUGCUGUUGUCUUGGAGCAGGUCGUCGUUUUGAAAGAUCUCCCAGAUAUUUCUACUGCUCUUGCAUACCUUUUUUUGGCCUUCUGUAUGCAUUAAACAUGUCCUAUCCUCAAGCUCUUAAGUACACUUUUGACACCAUUCAGAAUGUUUUCAUGGAGCUGGGAUCUGGAUGCACCAAACGUGUACUUUCUCUGAAGAACAAACUGUUGUAAAGAAAAUAAGAACAGUGUUUUUGGGAUCCUUUUUGGCGUUCAUUUGUUACAAGACCUAAAGUGCGCUUGGAUACAAGGUCUGGGGAUUCUUUUAGUUGGCAUCUCUGUUUCUUGUUACAGAUGUCAAACUGUUCCAAAUGCACCAAACGUGUGCUUUCUCUGAAGAACAAACAGUUGUAAAGAAAAUCAGAACAGUUGUUUUGGGAUCAUCUUUGGCGUUCAUUUGUUACAAGACCUAAAGUGCAGCUUGGAUACAAGGUGAUUAUUUUAGUUGGCAUCUCUUUUUCUUGUCAUCAGAUGUCAGACUGUUCUUAAAGUGUACAGUACAGCAUACCAUACCAGGUUAGUGGUUGCAGUAAGCAUGUCUGUUCUUAUAAAUGGUUGUUUAAAAUUGAGGGAUAGUUCAUCCAAAAAUUAAAAUUGUCACAUUUUGUCACUCUUAUUUUGUUACAAACCUGUAUAAAUGUCUUCGUUCUGAGGAACAUGAAGAAAGAUGCUUUGAGGAAUGUUUGUAACCAAACCGUUCAUGAGCCCCAUUCACUUUUUAUAGUAGGAAAAAAGAAUACUAUAGAAUCGAAUGGGGCUCGUGAUCUGUUUGGUUACAAACAUUCCUCAAAAUAUCUUAUGUUCAUCAGAACAAAUACAUUUAUACAGGUUUGUAACAACAUGGGAGUAAGAAAAUGACACUAUUUUUCAUUUUUUUGGGUGAACUAUCCUUUUAAACAAAAACUGUAAAAAAAUGUGUUUUAAAUGUUGGUUUAAAUGUGGUAAUUUGAAAAGGUUUAGAUUACGGAAAAUGUCAAGACAUUAAAAACAUUUUAUUGUUGAUACAAAGAAAAAUCCUAAAUUGAUACCAACAAGUUUUAUGCUGUUUUUGUGUACAUUUAAGUGAUUUAAUGAGAAAUUGUAUUGCACUGAUUUUUGUUGGUGUUAAAAAUUGUCUGUAUGCUUAGUGUAUGCAAAAUUUAAGUUCCUACUGAAGAUGGAAUCUGGACUUUUUCUUUAAAGUGCAGCUGUUGUGUCACAACUUUAAAAAAAAGUUAAAUAUUGUGAACCGAGUUUGUGCUAGUGUAGCAUCUUAUUUCUAAUUGAAAUAAAUGAUAAAGUAAAUGUUUUAUGAUCUGUCUUUAUUUUGCCAAUUGAACAUUUCUCAUCCACAAAACAUAAAAAAGCUAAUUAACUGAACAACAGCAAUUGCAGUGACAUAAAUAUAAUUAUUAGGAAAAUUAAAAAAUCAGGAUUGCGUAAACAAGCAAGUGUUAGUUGGCUAACAUACAUAAUAAUUUUGCCAAUUGAAAAUUCUUCAUCCACAGAACAUAAAAAAGCAAAUUAACUGAACAACAGUAGUUGGUGUAAAACAAAAAUCUUAAUUGGGAAAAUAUGAAAAUCAGAAUUGCAAAAACAAGCAAGUGUUAGUUGGCUGAACAUUGUAUCAUUACUAUGUGUAAUUAUUUAAAAUACAUUGAGACAACGCAAAAGUCUUAAUGCAUCAGGUUGACUCACUUUUUUGCGUUUUCGCAGCAAUUUUUUUUUUACAGUGUAUAGAUAUAGCUUUUGCUCAAGAAACCCAUAGCAAUGCUUUAAAUGAAGUAGAUUGGAAAUGAGAAUGGGAGGGUUUGGUUAUCCUGAGUCAUAAGAGCAGUACAAGUGCUGGUAUAGGAGACUUCUUUACAAAUACAUUUUUGCCAAUCUCAUAUGAGGUGAAGUCAAUUGUAAAAGGAAGACUUUUAAAGGUUACUGCAAACUUGAUGUUGCAACUUUUGUUUUAAUAAAUGUGUAUGCUCCAGUUAUGGCAACUGAGAGAUUGUUGUUAUUAGAGACACUGUCAAAUACAAUACAAAAUUGUGAUUCUGAACAUUAUCUCCUGGUUGCAGGAGAUUUUAAUUUUACAACCAAUGAUAUAGAUAGGAAUCAUCAUACAGCUUCUAGGUUGUCCUUGAUCCGGUUGAUUGAAACCAAUGAUUUAGUGGAUGUGUGGAGAAACAUAAAU